AGAUCAAAACAAAGCGCGCACACACACAAUGGCGGGGCGGGGUGUGUGCAUACCGCGGAGGAAUGACGAGGACGUUCUACCGGCAGUCCUUGGCUCGGUCAACUGCAUGCAGCAAGUCCUGGCAGAUACAAGGAGGGACUAUUAAGAAACAUGAUCCCUGCAGCUACUGGGUUAAACAUGUGGUGGGAAAUAAUCCAUUACCUUGGGACACAGGUCCAGUGUGGCAUCUGGGUUACUGCACUUACCUUCUCCAGGUUAUCCCAGGUACAUAUCCACCAGCCCCAAAGUGAGGAUGAACAGCUGGGUGGACUAUGCUCUGACUACCCAGGUCGAGAUUCAACCCUAGGUCUGUGGAUUAGUUGCUGGGCGUGCCAAUCACUUCACCACAAAAGCGCCACAAUAAACACUUGCCUAUGCCAUGACGGGCUGGGGCCGAACACCAUCCAGGCCCCACAAGCAAGCCUACCAGCGCUAUAGGCUUGCGUUGUGGCUCAUAGUGUAGGAGUAAUGGCGCCACGCCCAACACAGGGACGAGGAGGCUGGAAGGCGAGGAGUGUAUUAUUCUUGUCCUUGGUGGAGGUUGUGGGCGAAUGAUGCGUGAGUCAGUGUGGCGGGGUCCUCGCUGCCCUCCUCCAGGCGAUGCCAACACCCUGAGAGCCUGCAUGGGCGACUGUCCCUGCCACGCCAUCAUGCUACCCUGGGCGUAGAUGCUGUGCCCCAGGCCCUUCAGUUCCCCAGCCUGGUGGCUGCUGGGCCUUGUCGGGGUGCUGAAAAAUGAGGCAGUGAGCCUGGCAGUGGUCAGUGCCGCUGUGACAAGCCCUUCCCACCAGCCAACUGGCCCCCAGUGAAAGUUGCUGUGGCUGCCUGUGCCACAUGCACCACCACUGCUGAGUAGAAGGAGGCGGUGACUGGUGCUCAGCUGUGUGCCCCAGCAGGCCAGUGAGCGUCACACUACAGUGAUGACCCUGGGGCACAGGUGUGUCGCGGAGGUGUAUUCUAGGCGGAGGAGGCACGGCGCAGGGAGUGUGCUGCGUGCCCCGGGGAGCUGUGAUGGCAGUGACGGGCUCAGCGAGGGACAUGAGACGCCCUAGUGGAGGAGGACGAGGAGGAGGUGAAGGACGUGCUAGAGGUGGAGGCCUGGGCAAGGAGACAAGUGAUAUAUGAAGGUCAUCCACCCUGCAUACCCAGGAAUAGCAGAUAGGAGAGUCUGAAGGAGACCAACCACUAGCUGUACCAAACAGAGGCAGGAUUUGACUCCACCAAGGAGCAAAUAUAGUUGGGGACAG